UCAGAUAAUCCUGCUGUGUCAUCACUAGCUGAAGUCAUUCUGGCAACCCCGAUGAGGCUGGGAUUCUGGGAAAUGAUUCUCUACAACUUGCCAGGGAGCAGGGUCAACAGCACGCACAGGGUGCAAGCCCACUCACUGUGGUAUCAACGCCUAAUCAAACUUCAUUGAACUUUGCGGCUUUUCCUCACUGCCAUGUGCUGCGUCCAAUUCUUUGUCACAUACAAGAACAUAGAAAUGUGCCCCAAACCUCAUCACCCAUGACUUCUUUGGACAUUGAAUUCAUUCCAGUAUUCUUCACAACAUCUUAAAAGAAACACAUACAGCUUCAGAACUAAAAAUAAUUAUUCAAAUAUUCAUGUUGUAUGGACAAGGUGAACUCGCAGAUGUGAUAUCUAAUUGGCAGAAAGUAUCACAGGGUGGGGACCACAAAUGAAGAAGUAAAUAACUCCCUCCUGGAUGCUGCUAGGCACUUUCCUUACAAAGCUACUUUCUGCAACCUAACAAGGUUCUGAAGACACAGGAUGCUUGGAGAAGAGACACCCUCAGAUGUUGUUCCACUCAGUGCAAACUGACCUACUUAUGGUUGCCAUGGUUACUACAAUUUCAAAGUUAAUAAUAUUCUCUAAAAGAGUGGCAAUUCAGCUCUACAAAAUGCUGAGAUCAAGCUGAAGCUUAGUUUUGAGAGAAAAAGAAACUGAGUCCAAGUGGCUAAGUGGUCUAUCCCACACUGAGAGGGAAAUAGGGUUUCUUUGGUGGUGGUUGUUUUGUGUUUUGAGACAGGGUCUCUCUUUGUAGUCCUGGCCUGCCUUGAGCUUGCUAUAGCCCAGGUUGGCCUAAAACUUGUGAUCCUACUGCCUCAGCCUCCCGAGGGCUGGAAUUACAAGAAUAAACCACCAUGCCUGGCCCAGGAGAGACAUUAGAAGAUUCAUAGAGAAAUCUAGGAAUUAAUGAAGCUAAGAUCUAUGAUCAGUUCAGUAGCCAGUAUGCUUUUCAAAGUCACUGAAGCUGUAAAAUAUGCUGCUUAGCCUAAUGAUUUACUGAUUCUUUACUGCAAUUAUUAAAAAUAGAUUUUUUUUUUCUCCUCAUCUGUAACCACUACUUUUCACAUCCAAGCUGAAAUGCAAGUAUCUGCUUGGAGUCGUUGUACCAGGAACUCAUAGCAGACAGGUUUCUGCACAAAGGAAAACCAACUGAAAUGAAAAGGAAAAGGCCUGGGAAAUAGGAAAAGAGAGAAUCAUUUGCUUUUACCUGAGUCUCCAGGAUCCUUUGGUGGCCACAUUUCAUGCUGCUAUGACAUUUAACAAAAUGUUACGAUUUUCUUCUCAAAUAAAUGUUUCUAAAUUAGUCAUGCCUAC